UUUCAAAGUAGAACUGGAACUGAAACAUUCACAUCCCCAGCAGAGCGUUUUGUUGUAUUAUUUCGAACAGUUUUGUUUCAAAAUUUAAAACUGUUAUACGACGCCGUUCUAUUUGUUGCUGAUAUCAAAUACAAAUUAAAUACGCCAAGGUCCCAUACAAACGGGUCACCACUUUUUGGUUUACCGAAUAAUCAAAUUACUCUACCCUAUUCAUCUGUUUCGCGAUGACAGCCUAGAAUUGCCUGAAAAGAAUUAAACUGGCAACGAUAUCAGAUGAAAGCGCGCUGUGGCCACCCGUUGCUAGAGUGAUCUACCCGUUGGUACAACAAAAGUUUGCUGUUUUUUUAGAAAAAAAAAACUAAGUGCCAAACGAUUUUCUUAAAAUUCAUUUAAAUGCGCGUAGAACAAUCUAUCAAUCAUCCCUCCAUCCGGAUAACGGUUCGGGAUUCAAAAUAAAUUUUGUAUGGAUUCCGUGCAGCUUUUCGUUGCUAUCAACAUUCGAAGUUACAGCAGUAUAUAAUCAAUGACGGCGCCGGUAGUUGAGUGGUAAGCGUGGCCAACACUCGCCCCUUAAUCCCAGGCGAGGUCAUUAAGUUUUUUCUGAGGUGAAAAAAAUCUUGAAACAUUGAAGCAUCCAAAUGAAGAUAAAAAAUAAAAAUGCAUUGAAUACUGAUAGAUCUACUUCAAUACCGGCGGAAGCGAUAAUAAUAAUUGUUCUUGGCCAUAUAAAUCUCGGUGAUAUAAACCAUGCUCUCUAUCAUGGGCAUUGUAUUACAGGACCGGAACUCGAAUGCUGCGGUGGCAAGUAAUACGGCCGGUGGACAACAAGGAAUGCCCCCGAUAGUGCGGAGUAUAGUCUAACCAACGUCACAUGAACUGAAAAUCGACCAGGCCAAUCACAUACCCUUUCUCCAUGAGCCCAACAUAGUGACGAGGAAGAGUAAGGAUUAGGAUAAGGAUAAGGAAGUAUGGUGCCAAUACAUAAACUCUUUUUUUGGUAUGCAUAGUGGAGGAGGUGGCCACUAGGAAGUGGUCAAAUCUCUAGAAACGACGUUAAUAUUUUUGGCUGGCGGAUUAUGUCCUCGCUGAUGCUAUUGUUUUACUCAGCUAUCUAUAUUUGGAGAAGAUACUAAGAGCGUACACUGUUCCCUUUCGUUACCUGACCUGUUAUACGAAGUUUUGGAGUACUAAUCUAUUCAUUAAUCCACUGGCAGUAUCUACUUCAUACAAAGCCAUCGUACUAUUGUUUUAUUAGUGAUAUAUGUACUGCCUAUAAUCGGCAGUCAAUCCGAUGUGGAUAGGGAUUCCGAUAGAACAUAGAACUGACUUGCGAUUAUGGGCAGUAUAAAAAAAAACAAUCGAUUAUUUAAAUGGUAACAACAUUAUCAACCAAGGAGCGAAUUACACGUCAGCUAGAUCUUAUCGGGAUAAUAUGCCAAGUAGGGUUCGUCGCGGUUGCGGUAAUUACCGCAACCGCGCGGUAUUUACCGCACCGCUAAAUCCGCGGUGCGGUGAGACACCUUUUCCCGCAGAUGCGGUGCGGGAAAUGCGCUUUUGCCGUGCGUAUUACCGCAACCGCACGCAAAGCUCUCUGUCAGAAUGUUCGAGUUAUACUUUUCACUCUACAAUAGAGAAACAUGAACAAAACAUUGAAUAGCCAUAGUUUGAUUAAAAAUACGAAUAUAAUCUGCAAUCAAAUUUAUCGUUGCUUGAUUUUGUUACAUUUUGAUUGUUCUAACUUGAUAAGCAAACUGUUAUUAGCGGAGAAAAUCUAGCUGCGUUCAAAAUAAUUUGGCACCAUUAUUUUUUUUAACAUAUUAUGGACACCAUUUUUUUAUACUUCUGAGCAAAACUUUACAAAUGAACCAUUUUAAAUACAUAAAAUGAUUCUUCCAAAUGGAUACAAAAUUAUUAGAUCAUUAAAAACAAUUAAAUUGUACUCUUAAAUCCAAUUUCAAAACGCAUGACUUCUCCCGAUUCCUCUUGGCACUCGUGGAAUCAUUAUUCGUUUUCGAUAUCAAUUUUUUCAACCGUGAAUUUUGAUUUGAAGCAACCAAAUUACUAAAUAAAACUAGUGAUGCUGAGUCUUAAAGACAAACCAAAGAAUGUAAUUAUCUUCAUCAAACCAAACAAAUUUGGAGGAAUUGGCACCAAAGGAGACAAAUGUAUGAAAAGCUUCUUAAAUAAGGAGCGGUCCAAAUUAGGCUUAUUACUCUAUUCGUUCUUCUUGUUCCUGUAGGGUCGCCCUCAAGAAUCAUUUUCGCCGGGUCGUCGUCCGACAUUCUUACGACGUGUUCAUCGCAAAGCCCCCCUUUAUACUAAAACACAUCUCAAAGUUAGCUCAGAUAACAAAAAUUCACAUAGACACCUUUUGCCAAAGAAAAAUAUUAGGAAAAUUGCAUUAAAUACUAAUACUUUCGAAUAGCCAGUUCAUACCUUUAAAGCGAAAAAUUUUAGUAUUUGAAUUCUCCGUUUCAUGAAAGUCAUACUUUUUUGGAGUUUUUCUAAUAUUCAUUAACUACCGAUUGAUAUUAGAUGGAUUCCUGAUUAGAAUUU